GACUUGUCUCAACCACAGAUUUCUAAUUUGUGGCUUGGAUGUGGGGGAUUGUGGGCUUCUUUUCAUAGUCUGCUCCUCUGAAAUGAAUUAGUGGUGUCUGAGCUGCUAUUGGUGUGAUAAAUAUCUAUGCCUCUGGUAUGCUGGUCAGGACUGCUCAUAACAAACAACAGCUGUUUGACGA
rnacentral:misc_RNA from 1 species